GGAAUCUUAGACAAUGGGGGAAACCCUGAUCUAGCCAUGCCGCGUGAGCGAUGAAGGCCUUAGGGUUGUAAAGCUCUUUCACCUGCGAAGAUGAUGACGGUAGCAGGAGAAGAAGCGCCGGCUCACUCCGUGCCAGCCGCCGCGGCAAUACGGAGGGGGCUAGCGUUGUUCGGAAUUACUGGGCGUAAAGGGCGCGUAGGCGGUAUGUCAAGUCAGAGGUGAAAGGCCUGGGCUCAACCCAGGAAUUGCCUUUGAAACUGGCAAACUAGAGUCCGAAAGAGGAUGGCGGAAUUCCCAGUGUAGAGGUGAAAUUCGUAGAUAUUGGGAAGAACACCGGUGGCGAAGGCGGCCAUCUGGAUCGGCACUGACGCUGAGGCGCGAAAGCGUGGGGAGCAAAC
rnacentral:rRNA from 1 species